rnacentral:rRNA from 1 species
ACGAACGCUGGCGGCAUGCCUAACACAUGCAAGUCGAACGAGACCUUCGGGUCUAGUGGCGCACGGGUGCGUAACGCGUGGGAACCUGCCCUUAGGUUCGGAAUAACUCCCCGAAAGGGGUGCUAAUACCGGAUAAUGUCUUCGGACCAAAGAUUUAUCGCCUUUGGAUGGGCCCGCGUUGGAUUAGCUAGUUGGUAGGGUAAAAGCCUACCAAGGCGACGAUCCAUAGCUGGUCUGAGAGGAUGAUCAGCCACACUGGGGCUGAGACACGGCCCAGACUCCUACGGGAAGCAGCAGUGGGGAAUAUUGGACAAUGGGCGAAAGCCUGAUCCAGCAAUGCCGCGUGAGUGAUGAAGGCCUUAGGGUUGUAAAGCUCUUUUACCCGGGAUGAUAAUGACAGUACCGGGAGAAUAAGCUCCGGCUAACUCCGUG